CCUACGGGGGGCAGCAGUAGGGAAUAUUGCUCAAUGGGGGAAACCCUGAAGCAGCAACGCCGCGUGGAGGAUGAAGGUUUUCGGAUUGUAAACUCCUUUUGUUAGAGAAGAUUAUGACGGUAUCUAACGAAUAAGCAACGGCUAACUCCGUGCCAGCAGCCGCGGUAAUACGGAGGGUGCAAGCGUUACUCGGAAUCACUGGGCGUAAAGAGUGCGUAGGCGGGUUAAUAAGUCAGAUGUGAAAUCCUGUGGCUUAACUACAGAACUGCAUUUGAAACUGUUACUCUGGAGUGUGGGAGAGGUAGGUGGAAUUCUUGGUGUAGGGGUAAAAUCCGUAGAGAUCAAGAGGAAUACUCAUUGCGAAGGCGACCUGCUGGAACAUUACUGACGCUGAUGCACGAAAGCGUGGGGAGCAAACAGGAUUAGAUACCCGGGUAGUC
rnacentral:rRNA from 1 species